rnacentral:lncRNA from 1 species
GUCUUUAUAUAGGUUUUACACUCUUGCAAACUCAUAAACCUAUAUCUAAUGGAUAGAAAUAACUUAAGAGGAAUGGAUGGUGAGGAUGAGUUGGUCUUGUUGUAAUCUGAGUGAUGUGUGCUGAUUGGAUAAGCUAAGCUGUCUCACUUUAAUUCAAACAAGGCUGUGCUUUGAUUGGUUCUUCUUAGGCUCCUUUGUAUCUGUCCAUAGAUCAGUCUAGGUGCAUGGUCGUGGCUGCCUUCCUCUUUACAGCAACAGCCAGCCUGUCCAUGCCCCAAAGUAACCAAUCAGCUCCACACAGCAUCUUCUUGAUUCCCUUUGACUAGAUUCAAACCUUGGUGCCUUAUCCAUAUACUAUGCACACUCUUCACAUCCUGAAUAGUGACCCAAAUAGUGAAUAGUGAACCUAAAUAGUGACUAGUGAUUCACUAUUCACUUUUACACCAACUUGCCCAAACUUCUCCAAUCUUACUGUGGUAACUCUCCAAAGUUACUGUGGUAACUUUGGAGUUACUGUCUGACCCAAAUCUUCUCUAAAUGGUGUCUAAGUCCCUCCUGGACUUAACCCUAUCUUUGCACACUCAUCAGACCACUUCUGAAGCCUUAAGACUCUCCCAAAGCCUUAACAUACAAUCUCUGAAGAUCUUGCCAUGUCUUUGCACAAGCACCAACUCAACUCAUCACUUUUG